GUCUUUUUGUGUACCAUAAAAAGUCGUGCCUUCCCAGUGGGUUUUAACCUAAACGGAUGCGGUAAAUCGUGCUAAGGUAGCUAAAUUAUGGCCCAUUAAUUGUGGGUCUUGCGAACGGCUUGACGAGUUCCCUACUGUCUCAAAGUUGUUUUGGUGAACUUGAAUUGGAUGUGUAAAUGCUUCCAUGAGUGAGAAAGACGAGAAGACCCCGUGAAGUUAGAAAUUUUUUAUCUAGUAUGAAUUUUCAGUUUUUUUUGAGUUUGUAGAUGUAAGUUGAGAUCUUGAGAGUUGAAAAAUAUGGUUCUAUUGUUUUGGCUGGGGCAGCAAGAAGGCAAAACUAGACCUUCUUUAUUAAAAAACGGGUGCGUUACGACCCAUAGUUUUGAAAGGAAUGAUUAUCAGAAGAAGUUACUCCGGGGAUAACAGCGUUAUCCGUCCUGAUAGUCCUUAUAGAUGGGCGGGUUUGCGACCUCGAUGUUGGCUCUGGUUAUCCUGAGGCUUGCAGGAGGUCUCGAGGGUUGGUUUGUUCGCCCAUUAAAAUCCG
rnacentral:rRNA from 1 species